rnacentral:rRNA from 1 species
GACGAACGCUGGCGGCGUGCUUAACACAUGCAAGUCGAACGAAGAGCGAUGGAAGCUUGCUUCUAUCAAUCUUAGUGGCGCACGGGUGAGUAACGCGUAAUCAACCUGCCCUUCAGAGGGGGACAACAGUUGGAAACGACUGCUAAUACCGCAUACGAUCUAACCUCGGCAUCGAGGAUAGAUGAAAGGUGGCCUCUACAUGUAAGCUAUCACUGAAGGAGGGGAUUGCGUCUGAUUAGCUAGUUGGAGGGGUAACGGCCCACCAAGGCGAUGAUCAGUAGCCGGUCUGAGAGGAUGAACGGCCACAUUGGGACUGAGACACGGCCCAGACUCCUACGGGAGGCAGCAGUGGGGAAUCUUCCGCAAUGGACGAAAGUCUGACGGAGCAACGCCGCGUGAGUGAUGACGGCCUUCGGGUUGUAAAGCUCUGUUAAUCGGGACGAAAGGCCUUCUUGCGAAUAGUUAGAAGGAUUGACGGUACCGGAAUAGAAAGCCACGGCUAACUACGUG